rnacentral:rRNA from 1 species
AUUGAACGCUGGCGGCAGGCCUAACACAUGCAAGUCGAACGAGUGGCGGACGGGUGAGUAAUGUCUGGGAAACUGCCAGAUGGAGGGGGAUAACUACUGGAAACGGUAGCUAAUACCGCAUACCAUCAGAUGUGCCCAGAUGGGAUUAGCUAGUUGGUGGGGUAACUGCUCACCAAGGCGACGAUCCCUAGCUGGUCUGAGAGGAUGACCAGCGACACUGGAACUGUGCCACGGUCCAGAGUCCUACGGGAGGCAGCAUUGGGGAAUAUUGUGCAAUGGGCGCAAGCCUGAUGCAGCCAUGCCGCGUGUAUGAAGAAGGCCUUCGGGUUGUAAAGUACUUUCAGCGGGGAGGCGUUACCCGCAUAAGAGGCACCGGCUAACGCCGUGCCAGCAGCCGCGGUAAUUC